CCUACGGGUGGCAGCAGUGAGGAAUAUUGGUCAAUGGACGGGAGUCUGAACCAGCCAAGUAGCGUGAAGGAUGACUGCCCUAGGGAUUGUAAACUUCUUUUAUAUGGGAGUAAAAGAUUCCACGUGUGGGAUUUUGUAUGUACCAUAUGAAUAAGGAUCGGCUAACUCCGUGCCAGCAGCCGCGGUAAUACGGAGGAUCCGAGCGUUAUCCGGAUUUAGUGGGUUUAAAGGGAGCGUAGGUGGAUUGUUAAGUCAGUUGUGAAAGUUUGGGGCUCAACCGUGAAAUUGCAGUUGAAACUGGCAGUCUUGAGUACAGUAGAGGUGGGCGGAAUUCGUGGUGUAGCGGUGAAAUGCGUAGAUAUCACGAAGAACACCGAUUGCGAAGGCAGCUCACUGGACUGCAACUGACACUGAGGCUCGAAAGUGUGGGGAUCAAACAGGAUUAGAUACCCCUGUAGUC
rnacentral:rRNA from 1 species